rnacentral:misc_RNA from 1 species
AUUUGCCCCUGGUAGACUAUCGCAUUUUCACCUACAAAUUAAUUAUUAUUAACUAGUUCCUCAUGACAGUUGGGUUACAUGCAAUAAUGACUUACAAUCAAGCUACUAAUUUAAAUUUACAAGCCAACAUACCUUAUCUGCAGAUGCCCUAAUAACUAAAUUGAUAUCUGUUUCACUAACUCUAUGCUAUAAGAGUUUGUGUACA